CCUACGGGGGGCAGCAGCAAGGAAUUUUCGGCAAUGGGGGAAACCCUGACCGAGCAACGCCGCGUGGAGGAUGACGGCCUUCGGGUUGUAAACUCCUUUUGGGGGGGAAGAUACCGACGGUACCCCCCGAACAAGCCCCGGCUAACUCUGUGCCAGCAGCCGCGGUAAGACAGAGGGGGCAAGCGUUGUCCGGAGUUACUGGGCGUAAAGCGCACGCAGGCGGCUCGCCACGUGUGAGGUGAAAGCUGUGGGCUCAACCCACAGUCGCCCUUGCA
rnacentral:rRNA from 1 species